GUCGAACGGAGCCUUAACCAAAGAAGCAGCCAGCUUGCUGGAAGCGGAAAAGGGAAAGGCUUAGUGGCGGACGGGUGAGUAACGCGUGGGUAACCUGGCCCAUACAGGGGGAUAACACUUAGAAAUAGGUGCUAAUACCGCAUAACAACAGAAAGCGCAUGCUUUUUGUUUGAAAACCAAGGUGGUAUGGGAUGGACCCGCGUCUGAUUAGCUGGUUGGCGGGGUAAAGGCCCACCAAGGCGACGAUCAGUAGCCGGCCUGAGAGGGUGGACGGCCACAUUGGGACUGAGACACGGCCCAAACUCCUACGGGAGGCAGCAGUGGGGAAUAUUGCACAAUGGGGGAAACCCUGAUGCACCGACGCCGCGUGAGUGAAGAAGUAAUUCGUUAUGUAAAGCUCUAUCAACAGGGAAGAAAAUGACGGUACCUGAGUAAGAAGCCCCGGCUAACUACGUGCCAGCAGCCGCGGUAAUACGUAGGGGGCAAGCGUUAUCCGGAUUUACUGGGUGUAAAGGGAGCGUAGACGGCAGUGCAAGUCUGGAGUGAAAGGCGGGGGCUCAACCCCCGGACUGCUCUGGAAACUGUACAGCUGGAGUGCAGGAGAGGUAAGUGGAAUUCCUAGUGUAGCGGUGAAAUGCGUAGAUAUUACGAGGAACACCAGUGGCGAAGGCGGCUUACUGGACUGUAACUGACGUUGAGGCUCGAAAGC
rnacentral:rRNA from 1 species